rnacentral:rRNA from 1 species
UGGGGAAUAUUGCACAAUGGGCGCAAGCCUGAUGCAGCCAUGCCGCGUGUGUGAAGAAGGCCUUCGGGUUGUAAAGCACUUUCAGCGAGGAGGAAGGUGGUGAGCUUAAUACGCUCAUCAAUUGACGUUACUCGCAGAAGAAGCACCGGCUAACUCCGUGCCAGCAGCCGCGGUAAUACGGAGGGUGCAAGCGUUAAUCGGAAUUACUGGGCGUAAAGCGCACGCAGGCGGUUUGUUAAGUCAGAUGUGAGAUCCCCGGGCUCAACCUGGGAACUGCAUUUGAAACUGGCAAGCUAGAGUCUCGUAGAGGGGGGUAGAAUUCCAGGUGUAGCGGUGAAAUGCGUAGAGAUCUGGAGGAAUACCGGUGGCGAAGGCGGCCCCCUGGACGAAGACUGACGCUCAGGUGCGAAAGCGUGGGGAGCAAACAGGAUUAGAGUACCCUGGUAGUCCACGCUGUAAACCGAUGUCGAUUUGGAGGUUGUGCCCUUGAGGCGUGGCUUCCGGAGCUAACGCGUUAAAUCGACCGCCUGGGGAGUACGGCCGCAAGGUUAAAACUCAAAGGAAUUGACGGGGUCAUAGC